GGAAGGUGGCUCUCCAGGAACAGGAUUGAGCACCCCUGCUUCAAAACAAAUAACGAAAUACAUCAUUAUUCUCUAGUCAGGCAAACUGGACGCAUAUUUCUCCACACGUUUUACAAGUAAACUAAUAUUAUUUAGUAUGCCUAUUAUUUUCACUCAUUAUGCACCUCAGUACUGAAAUCUGCCCUCAAAACUACUUCAGUUCAUUCUAAAAGUGCUGAAAACAUUUCUCAGCGGUUGUGGUGUUGUGUCAAGUUGAAUUGACCCUUUACCCUUAGUUUUGUGUUCCCUUUGUGGGCGCAACGCAGUUUCGCUGUUUUCGAUAAUAAUCAUCAUUUUCGAGCUUGGCCCCGUGAUCUGUACGCUAGCAGGAACCCAAAACUGAGGCGAAACAGGGAAACAGAAUUCCAUAUUAUAUUGACAGUAGGCCUGUCACUCAGUUGUGGUUUGUCAUCCUAUAUAUCCAUUGUGUAAACUUCUAUUGGAUUGAAAGCUGGCGAGUCGACUGUGAAGGCUGUCGAGUUAAUGAACUCCUUGUCACGUUGACGAACUAGCUUGAGUAAUUAAGCUUUGUGAGAUGAGUGUGAAGUUCAUGAAUUCUAGUGGUAUUUUGAGCUACUAUUGUCUCACUGGAUGUUUUCUUUAGAGAUGAAAACAGUACGAGUCAUCCCACGUUCAAAGUCAUUAAAGGAGAGAUACCAUUGGAGAAAAGGGGAUGUACACCCUAAAAAUUAACAUUAAUUCACCCUGAUCUUGUUCCAAACUUCACUGAGUUUCUUUAUAUUCAUUCUUUCAGGCUUAGUCCCUUUAUUAAUCAUGGGUCACCACAGCGGAAUGAACCGCCAACUUAUCCAGCAUAUGUAAAGAAAGCUAAAACCCGGUAACCAGUUGACUCAAUAUAGGAAAAACAAAUAGUGAAAUUAAUGCUUUUCUUACUUAGUUUUUUUCGUAUUGUUUAUAGUUUAAAUAUCUUAAUAUUGUUAAGAUCAAGAUCAAAAUCAAGAAUAAUUUUCUACACAAGCAAACAUUGUUCUGUUUUAAGAAACAGACUAUAUCAAAAUGAGUUUUUCCUUAUAACCAGCAAAAUAAUCUGCCAAUGGUAAAUAAUCUAAUCUUCCAGAAUUCUUCUUUUUUUUGUUUAACAGAAGUUGAGUAAUUGCUUACACAUACACACACACACACACACACACAACACAACACAACACAACACAAAGUUCGACAUGCUUCUUAAAGACACAUCCGCUUGCUGACUGCAAAUAAAAGCAUCAUUAUGUCGCAUAAGGACUGGAAAAUCUCACACUGUUAUGAAGGGCGAAGCAGGACGGGAGAAUGAAGAGCAGUGUAAUUGCAGAAUGACUGCAAGGGCAAAUUAUAAAGCAAGGACCGUUGAAUAUAGACAGGCACAGGAUGAAGUCAUACCCAGGAGCUACUUAUCAUUUUUCCUGAAAUAAACAGAUGGUUUAUUUUGCAGCAUGUCCUAGAAUUACCCUGAGCAGGAUUUAUUCUGAGCACAGUUGCUGCCUGACCUGAACAGUCCUCCGUCAGAGAUCUGAAAGCUUCAGCUGACUGAGAUUACUGUAAACAUAACAUGCAUAAAGAGUAGUAGCCUAUAAAAUAUUUAAUUCAGGUUCGUAUUGGUUUGGACAAACACAGAAUAAUUUUAAAUACAAAAAUAGCAUGCAACAACUGCAGGAAAAGGAAAGCAAUUAUGAGAAAAUGUUGCAGGAGAAAAGACAGAAUUCUGAGGAAAGGUCGGGUUUGUGAGAUCUCAGAAUUGACAGUGUGGGUCAAUAUUCAGAAUUUACAUGAUUCAGAUUUUUAUUUUUUGUUUUUUAAAACUUUAAGUUAAAAACCUGCAAAAAAUAAACCAGAAAUGUGUAUAUGAAAUCACUUGAUUAAACUAUUUUUCUUUAGUGCACUAUUCAAACUUAUCAGAAAUGCAAGAUGUAAACACAGAAUGAAAAUACUUUUGUCAUCUAAUAAUUGAGAGAAAUAGUUAAAUUGCAAUAAAAAAUUUAAUACACAUAA